UGCACGCAUGGUAGAGGAGCGUUCUGUAAGCCGUUGAAGGUGAACCGGGAGGUUUGCUGGAGGUAUCAGAAGUGCGAAUGCUGACAUGAGUAACGAUAAGGGGGGUGAAAAACCUCCCCGCCGGAAGAUCAAGGUUUCCUGCGCAACGCUAAUCGGCGCAGGGUGAGUCGGCCCCUAAGGCGAGGGCGAAAGCCGUAGUCGAUGGGAAACGGGUUAAUAUUCCCGUACUUCUUUAUAUUGCGAUGGAGGGACGGAGUAGGCUAGGUCAUCAGGGCGUUGGUUGUCCCUGUUUAAGGCUGUAGGUUGGCGGUUUAGGAAAAUCCGGACUGCUAAGACUGAGAGCUGAUGACGAGUGCUUCCGCAAGGUAGCGCGAAGUGAUUGAUGCCAUGCUUCCAGGAAAAGCUUCUAAGCUUCAGAUAUAGAGGAACCGUACUGUAAACCGACACAGGUGAUCAGGUAGAGAAUACCAAGGCGCUUGAGAGAACUCGGGUGAAGGAACUAGGCAAAAUGGUACCGUAACUUCGGGAGAAGGUACGCCGGUUUUGGUGAUGGGACUUGCUCCCUAAGCUGAGGCUGGCCGAAGUGACCAGGUGGCUGCGACUGUUUAUUAAAAACAUAGCACUCUGCAAACACGAAAGUGGACGUAUAGGGUGUGACGCCUGCCCGGUGCCGGAAGGUUAAUUGAUGGGGUUAGCUUAUGCGAAGCUCUUGAUCGAAGCCCCGGUAAACGGCGGCCGUAACUAUAACGGUCCUAAGGUAGCGAAAUUCCUUGUCGGGUAAGUUCCGACCUGCACGAAUGGCGUAACGAUGGCCACACUGUCUCCACCCGAGACUCAGUGAAAUUGAAAUCGCUGUUAAGAUGCAGUGUACCCGCGGCUAGACGGAAAGACCCCGUGAACCUUUACUACAGCUUCACAGUGGACUUUGACUUUAUUUGUGUAGGAUAGCUGGGAGGCUUUGAAGCAGUGGCGCUAGCCAUUGUGGAGCCGACCUUGAAAUACCAGCCUGGUAAAGUUGAGGUUCUAACUCAGCCCCAUUAUCUGGGGCGAGGACAUUGUGUGGUGGGUAGUUUGACUGGGGCGGUCUCCUCCCAAAGAGUAACGGAGGAGCACGAAGGUGCGCUAAUCAUGGUCGGAAAUCAUGAGGUUAGUGUAAAGGCACAAGCGCGCUUGACUGCGAGUCUGACAAGACGAGCAGGUACGAAAGUAGGUCUUAGUGAUCCGGUGGUUCUGAAUGGAAGGGCCAUCGCUCAACGGAUAAAAGGUACUCCGGGGAUAACAGGCUGAUACCGCCCAAGAGUUCACAUCGACGGCGGUGUUUGGCACCUCGAUGUCGGCUCAUCACAUCCUGGGGCUGAAGCCGGUCCCAAGGGUAUGGCUGUUCGCCAUUUAAAGUGGUACGCGAGCUGGGUUUAGAACGUCGUGAGACAGUUCGGUCCCUAUCUGCCGUGGGCGUUGGAGAAUUGAGGGAAGCUGCUCCUAGUACGAGAGGACCGGAGUGGACGAACCUCUGGUGUUCGGGUUGUGUCGCCAGACGCAUUGCCCGGUAGCUAUGUUCGGACAGGAUAACCGCUGAAAGCAUCUAAGCGGGAAGCCCCUCCCAAGAUAAGUUCUCCCUGACCCCUUGAGGGUCCUGAAGGGCCGUUGAAGACUACAACGUUGAUAGGCUGGGUGUGGAAGCGCUGUAAGGCGUUGAGCUAACCAGUACUAAUUGCCCGUGAGGCUUGACCAUAUAAUCCA
rnacentral:rRNA from 1 species